GCCUUAAUGCUGGAAUUGGUAGACAGAAAUUACUUAAGCUAAUUUGAUAAUAUCGUGGGAGUUCAAGUCUCUCUUAAGGUA
rnacentral:tRNA from 1 species